rnacentral:rRNA from 1 species
AGCGAACGCUGGCGGCAGGCCUAACACAUGCAAGUCGAACGAACCCUUCGGGGUUAGUGGCGGACGGGUGAGUAACACGUGGUAACGUGCCUUUAGGUUCGGACUAACUCAGGGAAACUUGUGCUAAUACCGAAUGUGCCCUUCGGGGGAAAGAUUUAUCGCCUUUAGAGCGGCCCGCGUCUGAUUAGCUAGUUGGUGGGGUAAUGGCUCACCCAAGGUACGAUCAGUAGCUGUUCUGAGAGGAGGACCAGCCACAAUGGGACUGAGACACGGCGCAAACUCCUACGGGAGGCAGCAGUGGGGAAUCUUGCGCAAUGGGCGAAAGCCUGACGCAGCCAUGCCGCGUGGAUGAUGAAGGUCUUAGGAUUGUAAAAUCCUUUCACCGGUGAAGAUAAUGACUGUAGCCGGAGAAGAAGCCCCGGCUAACUUCGUGCCAGCCGCCGCAGUAAAAC